rnacentral:rRNA from 1 species
ACAUGGCUCAGGAUGAACGCUGGCGGCGUGCCUAAUACAUGCAAGUCGAGCGAACAGAUAAGGAGCUUGCUCCUUUGACGUUAGCGGCGGACGGGUGAGUAACACGUGGGUAACCUACCUAUAAGACUGGAAUAACUCCGGGAAACCGGGGCUAAUGCUGGAUAAUAUUUAGAACCGCAUGGUUCUAAAGUGAAAGAUGGUUUUGCUAUCACUUAUAGAUGGACCCGCGCCGUAUUAGCUAGUUGGUGGGGUAAUGGCUUACCAAGGCAACGAUACGUAGCCGACCUGAGAGGGUGAUCGGCCACACUGGAACUGAGACACGGUCCAGACUCCUACGGGAGGCAGCAGUAGGGAAUCUUCCGCAAUGGGCGAAAGCCUGACGGAGCAACGCCGCGUGAGUGAUGAAGGUCUUCGGAUCGUAAAACUCUGUUAUUAGGGAAGAACAAAUGUGUAAGUAACUGUGCACGUCUUGACGGUACCUAAUCAGAAAGCCACGGCUAACUACGUGCCAGCAGCCGCGGUAAUACGUAGGUGGCAAGCGUUAUCCGGAAUUAUUGGGCGUAAAGCGCGCGUAGGCGGUUUCUUAAGUCUGAUGUGAAAGCCCACGGCUCAACCGUGGAGGGUCAUUGGAAACUGGGAAACUUGAGUGCAGAAGAGGAAAGUGGAAUUCCAUGUGUAGCGGUGAAAUGCGCAGAGAUAUGGAGGAACACCAGUGGCGAAGGCGACUUUCUGGUCUGUAACUGACGCUGAU